GAGUUUGAUCAUGGCUCAGAUUGAACGCUGGCGGCAGGCCUAACACAUGCAAGUCGAGCGGCAGCACGGGGAGCUUGCUCCCUGGUGGCGAGCGGCGGACGGGUGAGUAAUGCAUGGGAAUCUGCCCGGUAGUGGGGGAUAACCCGGGGAAACCCGGGCUAAUACCGCAUACGUCCUACGGGAGAAAGCAGGGGAUCUUCGGACCUUGCGCUAUCGGAUGAGCCCAUGUCGGAUUAGCUUGCUGGUGAGGUAACGGCUCACCAGGGCGACGAUCCGUAGCUGGUCUGAGAGGAUGAUCAGCCACACCGGGACUGAGACACGGCCCGGACUCCUACGGGAGGCAGCAGUGGGGAAUAUUGGACAAUGGGGGAAACCCUGAUCCAGCCAUGCCGCGUGUGUGAAGAAGGCUUUCGGGUUGUAAAGCACUUUCAGCGGGGAAGAAGGCAUGGCGGCUAAUACCCGCCAUGAAGGACAUCACCCGCAGAAGAAGCACCGGCUAACUCCGUGCCAGCAGCCGCGGUAAUACGGAGGGUGCAAGCGUUAAUCGGAAUUACUGGGCGUAAAGGGCGCGUAGGCGGCCUGCCAAGCCGGAUGUGAAAGCCCCGGGCUCAACCCGGGAACGGCAUUCGGAACUGGCAGGCUAGAGUGCAGGAGAGGAAGGUGGAAUUCCCGGUGUAGCGGUGAAAUGCGUAGAGAUCGGGAGGAAUACCAGUGGCGAAGGCGGCCUUCUGGACUGACACUGACGCUGAGGCGCGAAAGCGUGGGUAGCAAACAGGAUUAGAUACCCUGGUAGUCCACGC
rnacentral:rRNA from 1 species